rnacentral:tRNA from 1 species
AGUCUUAUAUUCAAAAAUGAUUUUAAAUUGCAAAUUUAAAGGUAGAAAAAUUCUUAAGGCUU